rnacentral:rRNA from 1 species
AUUGAACGCUGGCGGCAGGCCUAACACAUACAAGUCGAGCGGUAGCACAGGGAGCUUGCUCCUGGGUGACGAGCGGCGGACGGGUGAGUAAUGUCUGGGAAACUGCCUGAUGGAGGGGGAUAACUACUGGAAACGGUAGCUAAUACCGCAUAACGUCGCAAGACCAAAGAGGGGGACCUUCGGGCCUCUUGCCAUCAGAUGUGCCCAGAUGGGAUUAGCUAGUAGGUGGGGUAACGGCUCACCUAGGCGACGAUCCCUAGCUGGUCUGAGAGGAUGACCAGCCACACUGGAACUGAGACACGGUCCAGACUCCUACGGGAGGCAGCAGUGGGGAAUAUUGCACAAUGGGCGCAAGCCUGAUGCAGCCAUGCCGCGUGUAUGAAGAAGGCCUUCGGGUUGUAAAGUACUUUCAGCGGGGAGGAAGGCGAUAAGGUUAAUAACCUUGUCGAUUGACGUUACCCGCAGAAGAAGCACCGGCUAACUCCGUGCCAGCCGCCGCAGUAAGAC